CCUACGGGAGGCAGCAGUGAGGAAUUUUCCGCAAUGGGCGAAAGCCUGACGGAGCAAUACCGCGUGAGGGAUGAAGGAUUUUGGUCUGUAAACCUCUUUUCUCAAGAAAGAAGUUCUGACGGUACUUGAGGAAUAAGCAUCGGCUAACUCCGUGCCAGCAGCCGCGGUAAUACGGGGGAUGCAAGCGUUAUCCGGAAUGAUUGGGCGUAAAGCGCCUGUAGGUUGUUUAUUAAGUCCGUUGUUAAAGCCUAGGGCUUAACCCUAGAAAAGCAAUGGAAACUAGUAGACUAGAGUAUGGCAGGGGUAGAGGGAAUUUCUAGUGUAGCGGUGAAAUGCGUAGAUAUUAGAAAGAACACCGGUGGCGAAAGCGCUCUACUGGACCAUUACUGACACUCAGAGGCGAAAGCUAGGGUAGCAAAAGGGAUUAGAUACCCCUGUAGUCCUAGCCGUAAACGAUGGAUACUAGAUGUUGUGCAUUAUGUACAGUAUCGUAGCUAACGCGUUAAGUAUCCCGCCUGGGGAGUACGCUCGCAAGGGUGAAACUUAAAGGAAUUGACGGCUGAGANGCGACGACGACACGAGGGAGAGG
rnacentral:rRNA from 1 species